ACCAUGACAACUGACCUAAACUGGCCAAAGGAACAUUCCAUACCAUAUGAAACCAUGGGAAAUAAAACUUUAAAACUGUGAGGGUUUAGUCAGGCAGAAACCUCAACUUGAGGACUCGCUGGGCACUGGUUGAUGACUGGGAACUUCAAGGUACCCAGGUAAAUAAUGCAAUCUGAACUUUCCUGUGAAGGAUGCUGCAGACCACACUGCUCAUUUUUCCAGCCAUGCUGUCUUCAUCUGAAAUGUCACUCACCAAAUACUGGAAACAAUAGAGAUGACAACUCCAGAAUUCUAGAUCAAAAUCCCUAGCAAUAUAAGGACCGUGCUGAAGUUCAUGGCAAUCAGAUUUCAUAAAAUGAAGUGUGCUGAAUGCAACCUGCUGUUGUUACUACCUGUGGGCAAGAUACAGUACAGGCUGGUUUCAGAACUAUGCCAUGAGAAUGGAAGACCAGCUGCCAGGACGUGUUCUGCUGCCAUAAGGUAAACAAGCGCAUCUCCCUCAGCCUUGCUUUGUAAGACAGAUGCUUCAGACCUCUUCAUCAUCUUCAUGGACCUCUUCUGGACCCACUCCAACAGCUCCAUGUAUUUCUUGGACAGGGAGCCCCAGGCCUGGACACAAUACUCCAGAUGGGUCCUCACAAGGGCAGAGUAGAGGGGGACAAUUGCCUCUCACUCCCUACUGGCCCCCUCUUUUUGAUGCAGACCAGGUUAAAAUAG
ensembl:lncRNA